rnacentral:rRNA from 1 species
CCAGCUCCAAUAGCGUAUAUUAAAGUUGUUGCAGUUAAAAAGCUCGUAGUUGAAGUUCUGAUUGUUCGGGCCUCGCGCUUUAUAGCCGAGGAACCGACAGUCAUCCGCUUGCAAAUAUAUGUUCGCCUUUAACCGGGUGGCUAUAUGAGUAAGCAAUUUACCUUGAGAAAAACAGAGUGUUCCAGGCAGGUUUGUCCGGAAUGCAUUAGCAUGGAAUAAUAGAAUAUGACUGAAGUCGAUUUAUUGGUUUAAGGCUUUAGUAAUGAUUAAUAGGAACAGUCGGGGGCAUUGGUACUUGACAGUCAGAGGUGAAAUUCUAGGAUUUGUCAAAGACUAACAAAUGCGAAAGCAUUUGCCAAGGAUGUUUUCAUUAAUCAAGAACGAAAGUUAGGGGAUCAAAGACGAUCAGAUACCGUCCUAGUCUUAACUAUAAACUAUACCGACUCGGAUUCAGAUGAAUCAAAAAGUUCAUUUGGGACCGUAGGAGAAAUCAAAGUUUUUGGGUUCUGGGGGG